GACGAACGCUGGCGGCGUGCCUAAUACAUGCAAGUCGAGCGGACGAAUCGAAAGCUUGCUUUUGAUUCGUUAGCGGCGGACGGGUGAGUAACGCGUGGGCAACCUGCCCUGUAGACGGGGAUAACACCGAGAAAUCGGUGCUAAUACCGGAUAACACGAAAUGUCGCAUGACGUUUCGUUGAAAGACGGCGCAAGCUGUCGCUACAGGAUGGGCCCGCGGCGCAUUAGCUAGUUGGUGAGGUAACGGCUCACCAAGGCGACGAUGCGUAGCCGACCUGAGAGGGUGAUCGGCCACACUGGGACUGAGACACGGCCCAGACUCCUACGGGAGGCAGCAGUAGGGAAUCUUCCGCAAUGGACGAAAGUCUGACGGAGCAACGCCGCGUGAGCGAAGAAGGCCUUCGGGUCGUAAAGCUCUGUUGUUAGGGAAGAACAAGUAACGCAGUAACUGGCGUUACCGUGACGGUACCUAACGAGAAAGCCACGGCUAACUACGUG
rnacentral:rRNA from 1 species